rnacentral:rRNA from 1 species
CCUACGGGAGACUGCAGUGAGGAAUAUUGGUCAAUGGACGAGAGUCUGAACCAGCCAAGUAGCGUGAAGGAUGACUGCCCUAUGGGUUGUAAACUUCUUUUAUAAAGGAAUAAAACGAGGCACGUGUGCCUUUUUGCAUGUACUUUAUGAAUAAGGAUCGGCUAACUCCGUGCCAGCAGCCGCGGUAAUACGGAGGAUCCGAGCAUUAUCCGGAUUUAUGGGGUUUAAAGGGCGCGUAGAUGGGUUGUUAAGUCAGUUGUGAAAGUUUGCGGCUCAACCGUAAAAUUGCAAGUGAUACUGGCAGUCUUGAGUACAGUUGAGGUAGGCGGAAUUCAUGGUGUAGCGGUGAAAUGCUUAGAUAUCACGAAGAACCCCGAUUGCGAAGGCAGCUUACUAAACUGUGACUGACAUUGAUGCUCGAAAGUGUGGGUAUCAAACAGGAUUAGAUACCCCUGUAGUC